rnacentral:rRNA from 1 species
ACUCCUACGGGAGGCAGCAGUGGGGAAUAUUGCACAAUGGGCGCAAGCCUGAUGCAGCCAUGCCGCGUGUAUGAAGAAGGCCUUCGGGUUGUAAAGUACUUUCAGCAGUGAGGAAGGUGGAUGCGUUAAUAGCGUAUUCAUUUGUACGUUAGCUGCAGAAGAAGCACCGGCUAACUCCGUGCCAGCAGCCGCGGUAAUACGGAGGGUGCGAGCGUUAAUCGGAAUUACUGGGCGUAAAGCGCAUGCAGGUGGUUUGUUAAGUCAGAUGUGAAAGCCCGGGGCUCAACCUCGGAAUUGCAUUUGAAACUGGCAGACUAGAGUACUGUAGAGGGGGGUAGAAUUUCAGGUGUAGCGGUGAAAUGCGUAGAGAUCUGAAGGAAUACCAGUGGCGAAGGCGGCCCCUGGACAAAGACUGACGCUCAGAUGCGAAAGCGUGGGGAGCAAACAGGAUUAGAUACCCUGGUAGGAUAGCG